GGGACACGUGGUAUCCUGUCUGAAUAUGGGGGGACCAUCCUCCAAGGCUAAAUACUCCUGACUGACCGAUAGUGAACCAGUACCGUGAGGGAAAGGCGAAAAGAACCCCGGCGAGGGGAGUGAAAAAGAACCUGAAACCGUGUACGUACAAGCAGUGGGAGCACGCUUAGGCGUGUGACUGCGUACCUUUUGUAUAAUGGGUCAGCGACUUAUAUUCUGUAGCAAGGUUAACCGAAUAGGGGAGCCGAAGGGAAACCGAGUCUUAACUGGGCGUUAAGUUGCAGGGUAUAGACCCGAAACCCGGUGAUCUAGCCAUGGGCAGGUUGAAGGUUGGGUAACACUAACUGGAGGACCGAACCGACUAAUGUUGAAAAAUUAGCGGAUGACUUGUGGCUGGGGGUGAAAGGCCAAUCAAACCGGGAGAUAGCUGGUUCUCCCCGAAAGCUAUUUAGGUAGCGCCU
rnacentral:rRNA from 1 species